rnacentral:rRNA from 1 species
GACGAACGCUGGCGGCGUGCUUAACACAUGCAAGUCGAACGGAAAGGCCCUGCUUUUGUGGGGUGCUCGAGUGGCGAACGGGUGAGUAACACGUGAGUAACCUGCCCUUGACUUUGGGAUAACUUCAGGAAACUGGGGCUAAUACCGGAUAGGAGCUCCUGCUGCAUGGUGGGGGUUGGAAAGUUUCGGCGGUUGGGGAUGGACUCGCGGCUUAUCAGCUUGUUGGUGGGGUAGUGGCUUACCAAGGCUUUGACGGGUAGCCGGCCUGAGAGGGUGACCGGCCACAUUGGGAUUGAGAUACGGCCCGGCCUCCUCCGGGAGGCGGCAGGGGGGAAUAUUGCACAAGGGGCGGAAGCCUGAUGCAGCAACGCCGCGUGGGGGAGGACGGCUUUCGGGUUGUAACCCGCUUUCGCCGGUGACGAAGCGUGAGUGAGGGAAAUGGGUAAAGAACCACCGGCUAACUACGUG